UGAUUGAUCAAGUUUUGACUUGGCAAUGACAAUUAUUAAAAUACAGUUUGACUUAGUGAAUUGUUCUCAUCUGAAAAUGGUAAACUUCCUUUCACUGCAGAAUAUUUUGGCUUGCUGUAGCUGCAUUACUCACAAAAACACCAAAUUUUGUGAAGCAGUUGAGUGAAGUUCAAAUGGAAAGCUCCAAGGUACUACUUCUGGUAUCCUUGUUGUUUUACUUCACGCCCCGGCUCAACGCGUUGGACACCAUCUCUGCAGGACAAUCUCUGAAAGGUAGUGAGACUCUAAUCUCACAAUCAGGAACUUUUGAAGCUGGAUUCUUCAGCUUUACUCACAAAAACACCAAAUUUUGUGAAGCAGUUGAGUGAAGUUCAAAUGGAAAGCUUCAAGGUACUACUUCUGGUAUCCUUGUUGUUUUACUUCACGCCCCGGCUCAACGCGUUGGACACCAUCUCUGCAGGACAAUCUCUGAAAGGUAGUGAGACUCUAAUCUCACAAUCAGGAACUUUUGAAGCUGGAUUCUU
rnacentral:lncRNA from 1 species